GCCAAGGUGAUAAUCCCAGCUUAUCAUCCUCCAAGAAAAACAAGUGAAGCAGCCCGUACCGUAAACCGACACAGGUGGUUGGGAUGAGUAUUCUAAGGCGCUCGAGAGAUUCAUGGCUAAGGAACUAGGCAAAAUAGACCCGUAACUUCGGGAGAAGGGUCGCCCCCUUAUGGGGGGCCGCAGUGAAGAGGUCCAGGCGACUGUUUAUCAAAAACACAGGGCUCUGCAAAAUCGAAAGAUGACGUAUAGGGCCUGACACCUGCCCGGUGCUGGAAGGUUAAGAGGAGAUGUUAUUUUUCGGAAGAAGCAUUGAAUUGAAGCCCCAGUAAACGGCGGCCGUAACUAUAACGGUCCUAAGGUAGCGAAAUUCCUUGUCGGGUAAGUUCCGACCUGCACGAAUGGUGCAACGAUCUGGACACUGUCUCGGCCAUGAGCUCGGUGAAAUUGUAGUAACGGUGAAGAUGCCGUUUACCCGCAGUGGGACGAAAAGACCCCGUGCACCUUUACUAUAGCUUCGUAUUGACCCUGGAUAAGUAAUGUGUAGGAUAGCUAGGAGACUUUGAAGCGGCGUCGCCAGGCGUUGUGGAGUCAUUGUUGAAAUACUAGCCUUUGCUUAUUUGGGGCCUAACUCUCUUAAGAGAGAACAGUGCGUGGUGGGUAGUUUGACUGGGGCGGUAAGGGC
rnacentral:rRNA from 1 species